GACCUUAUCCUCUCACUGUGAGGGGGAAAAAAAGCCCUUCCUUCCUCUAGUUGCUUUUGAGCAAAGGAAAAAAUAAAUGACAGAAAAUUGGUACCAAGGAGCAGGGCUAUUCUGUGAGAAACCUGACCAUGUGGUUCUUGGGCCUUUAGAAUAAGCUGGCAAGAGGAAAGGGAAUGUCGGAAUUCAGAACUGCAGGCUAGAGAAGCCCUAGAAUUCUCCUGUAAAUAGAGCUUAAUGGGCCAUUCUGGUGGGAGUUUAGAGGACCAGAAUGUGGAGAGAAACUGUGAGGGCCUGGUUCAUGAGGUUUCAGAGGGGAACAAGGACUCUCUCUAUGGGAACUGGGCUACAGGUCAUGUGUGUGAUAUUCUCACAAAGAAUCUGCCUGAAGUCUGUCCAUGUUCCAAAAACUUGAGUGAGGCUGAACUCAAAGACUAAUUUGCUUGGUGGAGGAUGUUUCAAGACAGGAUAGCAUUCGGCCUCUGGUCACUGUUUGCUCUUCUAAGUCUACAGGAAACAAAGCAGAAACUGGAGCAGGAAGAUAUGGAAAGUGUGCAGCUGAGUGAGCAAAAGAGUGGGAGGGAGUGCAAAGUCCACGGGAGGCCUUGCUGUGAAUGCAGCUGUCCCUGUUAAAGACAUUAACGCACUUAAAGAGAAACCUCAGCUCAUCACCAGGACAAUGGGGAAGGCACCCUGAACCUCAAGAGCCCACCCAUGGAGGGCUCCAACUUGUAGACCACAAAUCCGUUUGAAAGGAGAGAGCCUGGCCCGUGAAUGCCACUGAGGUUUCCUGCUUGAAAACAAACCUAGAGAAGUGUCUCCUCUGAUUAGACCACCCUGGUACACACAGCCACCGCAGCUGGGGUAGAGAGGAGCCAGAAGCAGAACUUAGUGCUGGUUGUAGGCAUGCAAGAUGCAAGAGUUUCAGCGUUUGGUAGGCUUGCGCUAAAGUCCUAGACAGCAGCUGUGGCCAGACAAUGUCUGAUGUGGUCAGAUUCUCUUCAAAGAGAUUUGAAAGACCACUGUGUGAAACUGUGAAGGCGGAGCCCUGAGUUGCAACUCUAGGAUGUUGAAGGCGCCGGGACUAUGAGAUGCCUCUUGAGGAAAGCUGCAGGGCCUUGAAGUUAAGAGAUUACCUGAGACUCAGCAGAGACUCUGUGCUUAUACCUUGGGAAAAAUUUGAAAUUGGGAAGUUUGUAAAUGCUUUAUGAAAUGAAUAAUAAUAAAUAAUAAAUGAAUAAGG